rfam:Ipomoea nil DNA, scaffold: scaffold1525, cultivar: Tokyo-kokei standard.
GUUUUUUUAGCCGAGUGGUUAGGGCGUGUGCCUGCUAAGUACAUGCGUUUUCCCAACGAAAGUCCAAAUCUCUCAAGCAAAG